UACGUAGGGUGCGAGCGUUGUCCGGAAUUAUUGGGCGUAAAGAGCUCGUAGGCGGUCUGUCGCGUCGAUCGUGAAAACUUGGGGCUUAACCCUGAGCUUGCGGUCGAUACGGGCAUGACUGGAGUUCGGCAGGGGAGACUGGAAUUCCUGGUGUAGCGGUGAAAUGCGCAGAUAUCAGGAGGAACACCGGUGGCGAAGGCGGGUCUCUGGGCCGAUACUGAUGCUGAGGAGCGAAAGCGUGGGGAGCGAACAGG
rnacentral:rRNA from 1 species